rnacentral:lncRNA from 1 species
AACAAACAGCCUCCAUAUCUUUACCCAAGCUCCUCUGCUCCGGGCCCAGACCCUGCUAUCCCCAGGCACGAAUACAGCAUAAGGCUGGCUCCAUGUUCCUCUACCCCACCCCCCAAAGAAGGAAAUCACUGGGGAAACCAAUCUCCUCUCCAUCAGGGUGGCUCUGGGAUACAAGCUCUUGGUAGGGUGUGCUUGGAAGUGACAGGGUCAGAGAGAUAAACAUAGUGGAGACAGACUGUGCAUCACUUUAGAACACAGCUUGGCUAAAACAUCCAGAGCACUCACUGUCCCCAGGACCAGCCUCAGCACUCCAUGAAGCCAGGUGGGAAGGCCAACCUAGGGCAAGGACCAGAAAGUACCACUGUCCUGCCCCCAUCAUACACACUGGCUUCGUGGAAAUCCUUGGGUGUUAACAGAAGAGGAGCAGGGAUCAUGGAGGCCCCAAAUCUCGGGUCCUGCUAGCUUCAGUCCUACCAUGACCAAAGACACAGACUCCUUCGUCUCUGUAUAAGCUUUUGCCGAGAAAAAACUUGGUUCUUUCUAAAAUACUCAGGCACUCUCCUAGUUUCUCCCCACUCUCCUGCUGCCCCAACCUCCUCAUGCCCCCAGCAUGGCCUUGUGACGCCUGGUAAGCAGGUGACAUGCAAUCUAGGACCCCAAGCCAGCAGAGAAGCCCAGCCUUCAGGCUGAGAAGGCAGCUGGAGAGCUCAGGCCAGGGCAUAAGGGACAGUACACAUGUGUGUAUGUCACACCACCGCUUAUGCACAUAACACACAGACACAGCUCACACAUCAACAGUUGUUCAGAAAGGGACCAGCAGAUAGCUGCCCCGGCUCCUCUA